GCAGGCUAAUGCCUCCGCCAGCCAGUGUCCCAGCUCCUCCCCCUCAGUCACUCUGUAGCCCAGGACAGUGGUCCUCGACUGGGGUUCUGCGCUGUUGUGACUGGGGGUACGGGGACUACCCUUGGCAUCUAGUGGGAGAGAGGCCACGGGAGGUGCCAGAUGUCUAGACGCACGGCCCACCCCCACCACAGACUGUCGAGCUCCAGGUGCCUGGAGCCCGGGGUGGGCACCCCCGUCCAGCACAACAGCACACGGGGCUCACACACACCAUCUCUUGCCAGAGCGAAAGUGUCCUCCCAUCCCUCUGACGGCAGAGUGGCGAUCAGGUCAGGUCAUCACCCCCAGCCACCAGCAUGAACCCUGAGGACCCAUGUGAUGGGUCCUGUGGACCUCUGGCCUCGUCUGAAGGAGUACAUGGCUGGGUGGCCAUUUAGAGGACAUUUAACAGUUCCAAGUCAGCUUCCUGGGCUGUAAAACAGAGACACCACCGGGGUCCACCAUCCCUUACCUGCGAUUCUGAAAUCCAGACAGCUCAGAAAACCACAGGCUUUUGGGAACGCCGACAGGGUUGUUCUGCAGCCGUCUCGCCCAGCCCCCACGGGAGCACCUGUUGAACAGGAGGAGAUUUGGAUGGUGUCACCACCACCACCGCCGGUGACACCGGUGUUGUCUUUACAGAACGGACAUGAAGCUGACCUACCUAAGAGUUUGGGUCCCCCGAAACAGAAAGCAACUCAAACAUCUGUCAACAGACGAACAGAAGAACAAGUCCGUGGUGUCUGCAUACAACGGAGCUCCUGGUAACG